ACCCGCACAAGCGGUGGAUGAUGUGGUUUAAUUCGAUGCAACGCGAAAACCUUACCCACCUUUGACAUGGCAGGAAUCCCGAAGAGAUUUGGGAGUGCUCGAAGGAGAACCUGCACACAGGUGCUGCAUGGCUGUCGUCAGCUCGUGUCGUGAGAUGUUGGGUUAAGUCCGCUAACGAGCGCAACCCGCGUUGUGUGUUAUAUGUGUCACACAAUACCGCCGGGUAUUAAGCCGGAGGAAGGUGCGGAUGACGUCAAGUCAGCAUGACCUUUAUAUCCAGGGCUACACACACGCUACAAUGGACAGUACAACAGGUUGCCAAGCCGCGAGGCGGAGCCAAUCCUCUAAAGCUGUCCUCAGUUCAGAUUGCAGGCUGCAACUCGCCUGCAUGAAGUCGGAGUUGCUAGUAACCGCGCGUCAGCAAUAGUGCGGUGAAUACGUUCCCGGGCCUU
rnacentral:rRNA from 1 species